rnacentral:lncRNA from 1 species
CCCCUCAAGUUCUUGCUGACUAUGAGAAGCCCCCAAUUUACAAGCCACCUGUUUACACACCGCCAGUUUAUAAGCCCCCAGUUGAAAAACCACCAGUGUACAAACCUCCAGUUUACAAGCCUCCAGUUGAAAAACCACCUGUUUAUAAGCCUCCAGUUUAUAAGCCACCCAUUUACAAGCCUCCAGUGUAUAAACCUCCAGUUGAAAAACCACCGGUUUACAAGCCUCCAGUUUAUAAACCACCUGUUUACAAGCCUCCAGUGUAUAAACCCCCAAUUGAAAAACCACCCGUUUAUAAGCCACCAGUUUACAAGCCACCAGUGUACAAGCCUCCAGUGUAUAAGCCACCAGUUUACAAGCCACCAGUGUACAAGCCACCAGUUGAGAAGCCACCAGUAUACAAACCACCCGUUUAUAAGCCACCAGUUUACAAGCCACCAGUGUACAAGCCACCAGUUGAGAAGCCACCAGUGUACAAGCCUCCAGUGUACAAGCCACCAGUAUACAAACCACCAGUUUAUAAGCCUCCAGUUGAGAAACCUCCUAUUUACAAGCCACCAGUUUACAAGCCUCCUAUAGAGAAGCCACCAGUGUACAAGCCACCAGUGUACAAACCACCAGUGUACAAACCACCGGUGUACAAGCCCCCUGUUAAGAAACCUCCUAUUUACAAACCACCUUACCCAAAGUACCCUCCAGGCUCCAACUGAAGACACCCAC